rnacentral:rRNA from 1 species
UGGGGAAUAUUGCACAAUGGGCGGAAGCCUGAUGCAGCGACGCCGCGUGGGGGAUGACGGCCUUCGGGUUGUAAAGCCCUGUCAGGUGGGAAGAAAGGCCUUAAGGAGAAAGACUUGAGGUUUGACGGUACCACCAGAGGAAGCACCGGCUAACUCCGUGCCAGCAGCCGCGGUAAUACGGAGGGUGCGAGCGGUAUUCGGAAUUACUGGGCGUAAAGCGCGUGUAGGCGGGGGGACAAGUCUGAUGUGAAAGCCCUGGGCUUAACCUGGGAAGCGCAUUGGAAACUGUUUUUAUUGAGUACUGGAGAGGAAGGGGGAAUUCCCGGGGUAGAGGUGAAAUUCGUAGAGAGCGGGAGGAAUACCAGUGGCGUAGGCGCCCUUCUGGACGGUAACUGACGCUGAGACGCGAAAGCGUGGGGAGCAAACAGG